CCUGUGACUGGGCUGUGUCAGUGUCCCGGACUCCACAGUGUUGGUAAUUCCUGCACAUUACCGCAGACUCGGAUGAUAAAAGCAUGCACGGCCAGCGUGCUCUCCGCACUCGAUUAGCCGGGCCUGACGCGCUGCUCUGAUUGCGCUGGAUGCUGGGGAGCUCAGAGCCCGAGCGAGCGAGAGGGGGUCCAGCGCGAGCGCGAGAGCGAGCCGGAGAGGAAUCCGAUUAAUCCUGCGAUCGCGCGGCUGUCUCCCGGUCCGGAGGGUAUCGAUCGCGGAGCCGCGAGGCGGGAGCCCCCCCGUGGCAGCGCGAGCGCACUCCCCGCUGGGCUGCGCGAGCGCCGGGCGCCCGUUCCGAAGAGGAGCGCGAGGAGAGAGAGCGCGCGAGGAGGAGGAGAGAGCGUCCCCGCCGAACCGGACCGGACCUGGACCGGACCCGCACCCGGGCCGCUCGGGGAGAUGUGCGGGGCGGCUCAGGGGCUCGCAGGAGCGUCGUUUCGGGCGACCAGCGCGACCCACGGCGUGAGUACCGGCCGCGCGUGUUUCUGUCACCCGUGUGCCUCGCUCGCGGGCGGCCCGCUGCCCUGGCGGGUGGGAGUGGGAGCGGGAGUGGAGGGGCUGUGCGGCCUGAGUGGGUGUCGUGUCGUGUCGUGUCGUGUUGUGAUUUAAUAGCGCAGACACACACACACAGAGGAGCCCGCCGGUCUGCCGCCCGAGCCCCUGGGGGUGUCUGUGGGGGUGUGGGGGGUCACUGGGGCUCCCGCUGUCCCUCUGGGCUCUGGGGUCGGGGAACCCCUGACCCCUGCAGGCCGGGGCAGUGACCCCAGAUCUUUCGACCCGAUCGGACUGUUUCCACACCCCGACGCUGCGGGCCGGACUGUGGACUGGGGCCCCUGGAGGCCCCUAAAGCCCAGACCGACCCCGAGAGCCGGGAGCUGUGUGGGGGUGCUCGGGGUGUUGUGAGACAGAGGGCAGCCCCAGGCCCCAGCAGGAGGAGGCUCGAACCCUCUCUCAGGGGGUCACAGUGUGAGGGGUCACACCUGCGGACACUCCCAGUGCAGAGCAGUCUGAUCCACUCC
rnacentral:lncRNA from 1 species